AUUGAACGCUGGCGGCAGGCCUAACACAUGCAAGUCGAGCGAGCGGCGGACGGGUGAGUAAUGUAUGGGGACUGCCCGAUAGAGGGGGAUAACUACUGGAAACGGUGGCUAAUAACGCAUACUAUCGGAUAACCCAUAUGGGAUUAGCUAGUAGGGGGGGUAAAGGCUCACCUAGGCGACGAUCUCUAGAUGGUCUGAGAGGAUGAUCAGCCAAACUGUAAGUGAGACACGGUCCAGACUCCUACGGAGGCAGCAGUGGGGAAUAUUGCACAAUGGGCGCAAGCCUGAUGCAGCCGUGCCGAGUGGAUGAAGAAGGCCUUAGGGUUGUAAAGUACUUUCAGCGGGGAGGCGUUACCCGCAGAAGAAGCACCGGCUAACUCCGUGCCAGCAGCGGCGGUAAUUC
rnacentral:rRNA from 1 species